AUGCAGGAAGCGUUGAAAAGGAAACUGAAAGCAAGGAUGGAGUAUGCAAAGUUUCUGCUAGAUCCUGCAAAAGAAUUGGCAAAGGAAGUCAAAGCAUUAUGCAGUGGAGAAACUAAACAGACCGCUGAAGAUCUGGACGAAUUUUUAAACAAGGAUGUCACCAAUGUUGGAGAUGAAGGUGGUUUUGCUCCUAACAUUCAGGAGAACAAGGAGGGCCUUGAACUCUUGAAGACUGCAAUUGAAAAGGCUGGAUACACCGGCAAAGUUGUCAUUGGAAUGGAUGUUGCUGCUUCAGAGUUCUACAAUGACAAGGACAAAACCUAUGACCUCAACUUCAAGGAAGAGAUAUCUGGAGAUAGCCUGAAGAAUGUAUACAAGUCAUUUGUGAGUGAGUACCCCAUUGGCUUGAUUAAGGAUCCAGUUGAACAAGAUGACUGGAUGCACUAUGCUAAGAUGACUGAGGAGGAGAGUCUUGAUUAUGACUUUCUAGUCAAUAACCAAAUGGAUCAUGUGCUCAAAGCAUCCAGCCAAGCUAAACCGGAAAUGACACCAUACAAAAGGAAAGUGUUCCAAAAUGGCCGAACUUUCUCUUCAAUUGGACCGGAACCGGAGCCGGAAGUUCCGGUUGUUAAACAAUUGAUGUAA
rnacentral:rRNA from 1 species